rnacentral:rRNA from 1 species
UACAGAGGUGGCAAGCGUUGUUCGGAAUUACUGGGCGUAAAGGGCGCGUAGGCGGCCCGUCAAGUCCCGUGUGAAAGCCCCCGGCUCAACCGGGGAACGGCGCGGGAAACUAGCAGGCUUGAGUUCGGGAGAGGGAAGCGGAAUUCCGGGUGUAGCGGUGAAAUGCGUAGAUAUCUGGAGGAAUACCGGUGGCGAAGGCGGCAUCCUGGACCGGCAUUGACGCUGAGGAGCGAAAGCCAGGGGAGCAAACGGG